rnacentral:rRNA from 1 species
CCUACGGGAGGCAGCAGUGGGGAAUAUUGGACAAUGGGGGGAACCCUGAUCCAGCCAUGCCGCGUGUGUGAAGAAGGCCCUCGGGUUGUAAAGCACUUUCAGUGAGGAAGAACGCCUGGUGGUGAAUACCCAUCAGGAAAGCCAUCACUCACAGAAGAAGCACCGGCUAACUCCGUGCCAGCAGCCGCGGUAAUACGGAGGGUGCGAGCGUUAAUCGGAAUUACUGGGCGUAAAGCGCGCGUAGGUGGCUUGAUAAGCCGGUUGUGAAAGCCCCGGGCUCAACCUGGGAACGGCAUCCGGAACUGUCAAGCUAGAGUGCAGGAGAGGAAGGUAGAAUUCCCGGUGUAGCGGUGAAAUGCGUAGAGAUCGGGAGGAAUACCAGUGGCGAAGGCGGCCUUCUGGACUGACACUGACACUGAGGUGCGAAAGCGUGGGUAGCAAACAGGAUUAGAUACCCUAGUAGUC